rnacentral:lncRNA from 1 species
GUCCCCAGUUCUCAGGCGAGAGCCGCGGCUGACAGGGUCUGGGACAGAAGGAAAGCCCUCCAGCCUCCAGGCCCUGCCUUCUGCCUGCACAUUCUGCCCUGAUUUCCGGAACCUGGAAGCCUAGGCAGGCAGUGGGGAACUCUGACUCGCCUGUGCUCUGGAGCUUGAUCCGAAAGCUUCCACAGUGAGGACUGCUCCGUGGGGGUAAGAGAGCACCAGGCACUGAGGCCUGGGAGUUCCACAGACCAACACCCCUGCUCCUGGCGGCUCCCACCCGGGACUUAGACCCUCAGGUCCCUAAUAUCCCGGAGGUGCUCUCAAUCAGAAAGGUCCUGCUCCGCUUCGCAGUGGAAUGGAACGGAUUUAGAAGCCUGCAGUAGGGGAGUGGGGAGUGGAGAGAGGGAGCCCAGAGUUACAGACGGCGGCGAGAGGAAGGAGGGGCGUCUUUAUUUUUUUAAGGCCCCAAAGAGUCUGAUGUUUACAAGACCAGAAAUGCCACGGCCGCGUCCUGGCAGAGAAAAGGCUGAAAUGGAGGACCGGCGCCUUCCUUAUAAGCUCGUUGGGGCCUAAGCCAGUACCGACCUGGUAGAAAAAGCAACCACGAAGCUAGAGAGAGAGCCAGAGGAGGGAAGAGAGCGCCAGACGAAGGUGAAAGCGAACCACGCAGAGAAAUGCAGGCAAGGGAGCAAGGCGGCAGUUCCCGGAACAAACGUGGCAGAGGGCAAGACGGGCACUCACAGACAGAGGUUUAUGUAUUUUUAUUUUUUAAAAUCUGAUUUGGUGUUCCAUGAGGAAAAGGGAAAAUCUAGGGAACGGGAGUACAGAGAGAAUAAUCCGGGUCCUAGCUCGCCACAUGAACGCCCAGAGAACGCUGGAAAAACCUGAGCGGGUGCCGGGGCAGCACCCGGCUCGGGUCAGCCACUGCCCCACACCGGGCCCACCAAGCCCCGCCCCUCGCGGCCACCGGGGCUUCCUUGCUCUUCUUAUCAUCUCCAUCUUUAUGAUGAGGCUUGUUAACAAGACCAGAGAGCUGGCCAAGCACCUCUAUCUCAGCCGCGCCCGCUCAGCCGAGCAGCGGUCGGUGGGGGGACUGGGAGGCGCUAAUUAAUUGAUUCCUUUGGACUGUAAAAUAUGGCGGCGUCUACACGGAACCCAUGGACUCAUAAACAAUAUAUCUGUUGGGCG